ACUGGUAAAGCAUCAAGGGAGAUGAAGUCCACAACAUCUGGAGUGUUGAAGUUUUCCUACUUCUGGUCUAGAGCAUCUACCCCUUCUCCGUUCAUAUAUCACUGAAUUAUAUUUGUUAUCAAGGUAAUUUGCCAGGACAUUCUAUGUUAAAUAAAAGUUGCAUGCCAAAUUGUUUGUUGUAUUAAAGGACCACUAUAGGCACCCAGACCACUUCAGCUUAAUGAAAUCCAGCUAACCCUGCCUGCUGUAAAUAUAGCAGUUUCAGAGAAACUGCUAUGUUUACUUUAGGGUUAAUCCAGCCUCUAGUGGCUAUCUCAUUGACAGCCGCUAGAAGCGCUAGAAGACGCCAGCGGAAGCAUUGAGAAGGCUUUCCCAUGGAUUGGCUGAAUGCCCGUGCAGCUCCUGACGCGCAUGCGCAUUCAGCCGCUGACGGCGAUAUGGAGGACGAGAGGAGGAGGAGAGUUCCCCAUCCGGCGCUGGAAAAAGGUAAAUUUAACCCCUUCCACCCCCUAGAGCCUGGCGGGAGGGGGGCCCUGAGGGUGGGCGGGACCUAGAGACCCUAUAGUGCCAGAAAAAGGAGUAUGUUUUCCUGGCACUAUAGUGGUCCUUUAAGGUUGCAUACCCUUACAUCUCAUGUUAUUUCAGGGUUAUUAUCUUUUUUCCACAAUAAACGUUUGAGGUUUUUUAUCAUUUGCACGUACAUAUUUUUCAGCAUACUGUGGCUUCUCAUCUGAAAAUAGGGCUAAUAAAUGCCCACUCUCCUGAUUCUGGUUACAUCUUUUCUCCCUUCUCCAUACAUUGCAGGUACAGAGAGGUCCAAGAACUGUGGCAAUACUACAAGAUAAUUGUACCGGGUGUUGGCCCAUGUGAUGCUAGGAAUUUUUUACAAUUCUUAUUUACAAUAUUACAAGAAAAUGUUUACUAAUCUUGAGCCAAUAUCUCCCUAUGAAAUGUCAAGUGAUUAUUUUUAAAGCCCAGUCUGUAGUAUGUACAACUUUUUGUGCAGUGGGAAUUGUUUCCUAAAGAAAACUCCUUGCCUUUAAAGUUUCCGAGUCAAGGUGCAUUGUAAGCGAUCGACUCUCAGAUUAACCAAACAUCAAUGAGCUUCACAUGUCAAUAGAUACCACUGUAUCUUUCUUGCAUCACGCUGUUACCACAUCUAGUGAACAUUGACUUAAACUGACAGCCCUGUGCUACAUACAAAAUUCAUCACAGGCUACAAAAUCUGCAAUGAAUGUCUUAAUUAUAGCAGAGUGAAAUAUCUCAUACAUGAGAGUCAAUGUUAGAUGAGUCAUUGUUAGGAUUGCGUAGGACCUGCCAAAAAUAGGAUUCCAUGUAAAUAAUAGCAGAUUUUUGUAAUGUAUGAGCAUAUAAUGUAACUAAAAUAUUAACCCCACUAUGUUAGUCGUCUGUUUACAAAACCUUUAUAGGCUUUAAAGGGG